CACGUAGGGUGCGAGCGUUGUCCGGAAUUAUUGGGCGUAAAGAGCUCGUAGGCGGUGUGUCGCGUCGGCCUGAAAACCUGCAGCUUAACUGUGGGCUUGCGGUCGAUACGGGCAUCACUGGAGUUCGGCAGGGGGAGACUGGAAUUCCUGGUGUAGCGGUGAAAUGCGCAGAUAAUCAGGAGGAACACCGGUGGCGAAGGCGGGGUCUCUGGGGCCGUAACUGACGCUGAGGAGCGAAAGCAUGGGGAGCGAACAGG
rnacentral:rRNA from 1 species